GCAGGACUCGGGGUGGGAUUAACCACAUUCCCCUUCUCCCACAUACUCUUGAUGCUCCGCAGGCCUUCAGCCACAGUGUUACUCGACUCUUCAUUCGCCAUAUUGCUCAGGCGUUCCUGACGGGCUCGUCUCCGGUGCUCCCGGGCCGCCUCCUCGUCAUCAUCGUAAGAGUUCAUCCUGUAGAGGCGGUGGGACACAGACAUGCAAAUGUUGUAGAUGGUAGAGAGAAACCCAUAACAGGGACCGCAAUUCUAUUUCUCCAUCCCGAGACCAACAGUGGAAAUCCGAAACAAUCCAGUCCUCUCAGGGAGUUCCAUAACCAAGA